rnacentral:rRNA from 1 species
UACAGAGGUGGCAAGCGUUGUUCGGAAUUACUGGGCGUAAAGGGCGCGUAGGCGGCCAUCUAAGUCAGACGUGAAAUCCCCCGGCUUAACCUGGGAACUGCGUCUGAUACUGGAAGGCUUGAAUCCGGGAGAGGGAUGCGGAAUUCCAGGUGUAGCGGUGAAAUGCGUAGAUAUCUGGAGGAACACCGGUGGCGAAGGCGGCAUCCUGGACCGGUAUUGACGCUGAGGCGCGAAAGCCAGGGGAGCAAACGGG